AGCAGUGAAGCAUAAUGGUUAGGGGUCUGGGCUUCCAACUCAGAUGUGCUGGGUUCAUUUCCCAGGUAGGACACUGCUG